AACUAAAAAAAAAAAACCUAGAAGCACCUAGAAGCUUUUUCUGUGCUUGUGAAGACUCGAGAAAGGAGAUUUGCUAAGGUGUCAAAGUCCACGUAACAUGUAUGUACAUACUAUUAUAUUAAUGAAAGUUUGAACUCAGUUAUGCUAGUGGAAGCAUGUGUUUAAGAUUUAAUGCAAUACAGAUGGCGAAACAAACCAUGGCGUACUCUAAUCAAGCACUCCAGUUUCGUGCUGACCAGAAGAUUUACCACUUGCAGGUCAGUUCUAAUUUACAUUUAUGCUCUCAGAAAGCAGAAGUACAUGCUACAAUGUUCAUUUAAUCAUUUCCCUCUUUUGGUCCCAUGUCUUGUAAAAUUAUAUCUGUAUGGCACAGACUCCUCAAUCCCCCGUGGUGCGCACGAAAACAUACACCACGUACAGCAUUGAUGAGAAUCCAACAGGGACUAAUGCAAUAGUUGCUGUCCUGGCUCAUACUGGGUAAGAAAUUGUUUUGGCCCAUUUUCCAUUUUUGUUAUCAAGCAUUCAGAAGAAAUCUUUGGAUAUGGUGCUUAAGCGUAGUUGCAAGGAAUUUUUUUUUAUCUCCAACUUUAAUUUAAGCCUGGUCAUUGUCCUCUGCAUUCGUUUCUUUAUGAAACCCGGAAUAUUCUUGUAGUUGCAGCGAGGGGUUAAUUAUCAUCGUACAAAUUACUCAGCAUUUCCCUUCUGUGAAUUUCUUACCCUUGUCCUCAUAAUCUUGCAGACAGAAACUGUUGAUCUGUCAGAUCAGAGAAGCCGAUCGGAAAAUGCUCAUAAAAGUUUCAGGAGAAGAAAAUUUGACAAAUCAGCUCAUUCUUGUAUUGAUGCUGAUGAGUUACCAUAUGUUGGACAGGUAAAAUCAUUACUUUCCAUCCUCUUGAUGUGCUGUAGACUCAUUCUGUAAUUUUAGUUUCCUUGUUAACAUCCACAAAAACUCCGAUGCACAGAAAAUACAUCCAAAUGAGCCGUACUGUAGUAUCUAUGAUGGGGUAACUAACUCAAUAAAGACCAUGAAGCGAAAUGGCACCGACCCUGUCAUAGUUGACUUUGUCUCUGUGGACAUGAAAAGCAAGACGCAUCCUCAAAAGGUGAGGUUAACUCCUUCAACGGUCACAUAAACAGAGUCCGGUUUUGGUUAAUUCUAAUUUUUAAGGUUCAUUUGCAGGCGAAUAUUUAUGGGGCCUGUUUACUACCAAAGACUACGUCACAUGGUCUCAGACAAAUUCCAGGUUUUUGGAUCCCUCGGUAAAACUCUCCAAGUUGCACUUGUCUCAUCUUGGAGCUUUGUCUGAGUCAUAUAUUCUGGCUUUGCAGGUUAGAUCCAUAGGACUAGUGGAUCAGCUAACUCGUCAGCCAAUCAAGGGAAGGAAACGAGGUGGAGGGAUUCGAUUUGGUGAAAUGGAAAGAGACGCAAUGCUUGCUCAUGGAGCUUCGUAUCUAUUACACGACAGGCUCCACACCUCAUCAGAUCACCACAUUGCAGAUGUGUGUUCGCUAUGUGGAAGCUUGCUCACAUCUUCGGUUGUGAACGUUCAACAGAAGAAGCUGAUUCAAGAUAUUGGAAAGUUACCUCCUGGCAGGACUCCAAAGAAGGUAACUUGCGAUUCGUGCAAGACAAGCAAAGGGAUGGAAACUGUUGCAAUGCCAUAUGUGUUCAGGUACUUAGCUGCAGAAUUGGCGGCAAUGAAUAUUAAGAUGACUCUUCAGUUAAGCGGCAGAGAAGGAAGCAAUAGAGAAGGAAGCAAUAGAGAAGGAGUCUAAAUUCGCUUUCAUUUGAUGUUGUAUGUACAUCAAAGUUUUUGAGUUCUCAAAGACUGGAACAAAAUUGUCUGAAAAUUUUGACAGAUGAAGCAAGAACAAGAAUUAGAUCUCACAAUGUAACAGAGUUAUGUAGAAGAAGAAUACAUUGCUAUUAGUUUUGGUUUUGCUUCAUUAGUAUAUUUUUUUAUUCUGUGAAACGUUCUCUGGUUUUUGGUGGAAGUUAUCGUCUUAAACGUUGGUGUAUCAUUGGUAUGGAUAAAACCAAUGCAUUGGUGACAUGUUCAAUCAAAUAGCUCAAUUUUACCUUACUGGAAAUAGCCUCUGCAAUUUGAGUGAACCUUAGAACAUAAAUCCAAUUCCAUUUACUUCAAAGAUACGAGUUGAGAGAAAAAAGAGCUAUUACUUGCAAAUUAUACAUCUAAACAACCACUCUUUCUCCUCUUGCACUCACACGAAGCAAACACUGAAGCAAAAUACAGAUAAAAGUCGCUCACUUUCCGGGAACGAAGUUGGUGGCGAAGGCCCAAGCGUUGUUGUUGACUGGAUCGGCCAAAUGGUCAGCAAGGUUCUCCAACGGUCCCUUACCGGUGACGAUGGCUUGAACAAAGAAUCCGAACAUAGAGAACAUAGCCAAUCUCCCGUUCUUGAGCUCCUUCACCUUCAGCUCAGCGAAGGCCUCUGGGUCGGUAGCUAGGCCCAAUGGGUCGAAGCUGCCACCUGGGUAAAGCAAGUCAUCGGCCUCUCCCAACGGCCCAUUUCCGGCGACUCUGUAACCUUCAACGGCUCCCAUCAAGAUCACCUGAGUGGCCCAAAUCGCAAGAAUGCUCUGAGCGUGAACCAAGCUUGGGUUUCCCAAGUAGUCGAGUCCUCCUUCACUGAAGAUCUGUGAACCGGCCUUGAACCAAACCGCCUCUCCGAACUUGACUCCGUUCCUGGCCAGCAGCUCCGGGAAGACGCAGCCUAGGGCUCCGAGCAUGGCCCACCUGGAGUGGAUAACUUCUAGCUCACGGUUCCUUGCGAAUGUCUCAGGAUCGGCUGAGAGACCGGCUGUGUCCCAUCCGUAGUCUCCGGGGAACUCGCCGGUGAGGUAGCUUGGUGGCUCGCCGGAAAAUGGACCCAAGUACUUGACUCUGUCGGAUCCGUACCAUGGGCUGCCUGAUGGGCCCUUUGGUUUGGCUACGGUCUUCCUCAUCGUCACACGGCCGCUUCCGAGGACUUCUGAUGCCGCUGGAGAAAUCUUGACGGCCUUUCCGGCGAAGGCAGGGGAGGAGAGAGCCAUUGUUGAGGCAGCCAUUGCGGUUGAGUGCGGAGCAAAGUAAAAAAAAAACGUUUAUUUAGUUGUUGUUGUGAGCCAAGAAAUGGGUGGUUUGGCUUUGAUGAGCUUUUCGGUAUUUAUAAUAUAAAGUCGAAAUAAUGUCUUAUCUUAGAAUAUCAAUCUCUGGUGUUUCUAUUGGCCAUUGACAUAAUUUUUACACGAGGCACUUCAUGAGUGGAUGUUUCGAAAUAAAGUCUUAUCUUAGAAUAUCAAUCUCUGAUGUUUCAUUGGCCAAUGACAUAUUUUUAUUUUGGGUUUAGAUAUUUUGUUUGCUUACGUGGUAAUUGUGGAUCCUACUCAAUAGCUCGCAGUUGAUAUGCGUUUAAAGAGAUCUUGUAGCGUUUCAGGAGAUGGUGAAACAUCCACUCAUGAAGUGCCACGUGUAAGACUCGUUCUUUCUAUCCUUUUGAAAUCCCGAGAGCAUCAAUCAAAAAAAAAAAAAAAAAAUUAGGAUAAAUUGUUAUAUAUUACAUUGUAGUGUACCUUUUCUAAAUAAGUUUUUAUAUGCUCUUUCGCUGAAUCUGUUCUUAUAAAAAUUUAGAAGAUUAAUAAUGAUCCCUGGCUAGAGAAGACGAUAAAACAAAGCAGAUCAUACGUUGUAAUAUAUUUAUGUUAAUGCAUGUAUCAGUGCCAGCAUAUCAUUAGAGUCCAGAUAAUGGUUAAAGCCCCCAUCAUGAUCAAUUGAUCAGGGUCAUGGUCAUUCGACAAAAAUUCAUAACCACGGGUCAUGGCCAUAGCCACAAGGCCCACAACACAAGUCGGCUCUUUCCUCACAUUUGUGAUGCGUCCAAAUUAAAGUUAUUUACAAUAAGCAAAUUCCAAUUCCAUCUAAUUAACCCGUAAAUACACUGAAAACCAUCUAUUAGCUAACCCAAAUAUUGAACCAAACUCAUCUCAACCGGAUAUUAUACAAGAUGUGAAAAUGUGCUUACCAUUUGUGGAAGAGGUGAGAUAAUGUCUUGAAUACAUUUAUCUCAAUCAUGUCUAAUGCGAAGUGCCUAGCUAAGGCCAAUUCUAGAUUGUGAGAACACUAUUUUUUUAAUAGCAUUUAGCAAUAUUUUCUUUGACCUGAUCUUGAAGCUAUUUUGUUUAGCUGUUAAAUGAUUUGAUUUCUCUAUUCAUGCUUUGGUUAUUUAUUCAACUUUGGGAUUUAAAUCGAUGAGAUUUGUUUUUUGUACGUUCCUUUCCUUAUUGGAUGAUCGGUGCUAAGGACAAAUAUCAUCAUUAUUAAUUUGAUUAGGAUAUAUAUACAUAUAACCUUUUGAUUUAAGAUAUUUUAAAGCUUUGUGAUUAAAAAAAAAAAAGAGUUAGGGAUCGACAACAUUGAGCCACGUCACGGGUCAAGAAGCUCCUCGGUGUAUGGACGACGACUUUGAAGGACUUCUCCAUUUUGCAUAUAUGUACUGUACUACUGUGUUUUUGUUCAAUUAAUCCAUAUCAGUUGCAUAUAUAUUUUCCAUUUUGCAAUCCACAUAUCACAUUAAUUAUGAUAAGACUCCUUAACAUAAAAUUCAGACAGCACCUUCGAAUUAGUUAUAGGCUUGCUACAAGCCUACAAACUCAAAAACACAACACAUUUUAAACCAACAAAAAGGGCCCAAGGUUUAAUAAACUGCACAUAUUAUAGAAAUUUUUUGUAAUAGGGUUAGUGAACAUUUUAGGGUUUGCAACUGAUCACAAUGAACUUGAUGAUGAGCCGUAAUCUCGUGGCUUCCGGUUCUCAUCUCUGGAAGAGGGCCUGUACAACGGUCGCUGCUCCGGCGUCGGCUAACGUCAAGACCUCAGUUACCGCACCAUCGGCGGCGGUUGCUGGCAGAGAGAAGAGGAAGAUACUAAAGAAACUUUGGAAUCUGAAAGUUUUUGGAGGGACAGUGAAUGGGACGUUAAACGCGGCGUUUAGGAAGGAGGAAGAGAGGGUUUCCAUCACUCAAGCAGAUCUCGUCCGCUGGGCUAAGCUUAUCCACAAGGACGGAAAUCAUUUACACGCCUACCAGGUAGGGAGUAGAUAGAGAGAAUUUCAUUUCAUUAAGCAGUUCAUCAUCUAAUUUAAUUAAUUAAAAAAAGGUUUUGUGUAGGAUUAAGUAACCAAUUGAUUUAAUGAAAGUGUUUUGUGCUAACUAGGAGAAAAUCCGCGCAUAUACGCGGAUCUUGUUUUAAUUUAAAUUUUAAAUAUUACAGUUUUUAAAUUUGUAUUGGAUUUUAUGUUUAAUAUCAAUGUUUUUGCGUUUAAAAUAUUUAUAUUUUAUUCGAUUUCUUUAUGAUGUAAUCUCUUCUACAUCAAUUGUGUCAAAUAGUCUAAUUUUCUCUCAAGAUAAUAAAGAACUAAAAAUCUAUUAUUUUAAUUUUAUAUGAAAACGUAAUAAUUCACUUAAAAAUAUACGUUGAAUAUUAGAGAGAAAUAUUUAUUUGUUCUUCGAUCUUCAUAUUCUUUUUAGUCUUGUAAAUCUUACUAAUAUAAUAUUUGUUAACUUUCUCAAUUUACUAUAUUAAUUUUUUUUGGUUAUAUAUAUCUUGAUUCCAUUUUUUUUUUUUAGUAAAAAAACCAUGUAAGACAUUUUUAUGUGGACAUCAUUCUUUAAAUAUUAUUUGUGUUUUAUAAUUUUAUUAGUUGGAGUUUUAUAUAAGAUUAUUUGAAACUUCUUAACUUAUUCAAUCUAUUUUUUUUCACUUGCAUUAAAAUUUAAUUAUAAUUUUAGUUUAAAAAUGAAGUUUAAAUCACUUGAAAAAAAAUAGAAUUAUGCAUUUAAAAAGUUUUUUUAUUAUAUAAUAUUUAUAAAUUUUAUAGACUUAAAUUUAAUUUUAAUUUCAUUCUAAUAUAAAUAUAUAUUAUUAUUUACUAUUAUUAUUUAAUGUAUUUAUUUACUUAUAAUCUUUAAUGUAUUUGCUUUAAAUUUAAUUAAUUAAUACUUUUAUUAAUAUUUUUAAUGGAUAUGUGUCACUCUUUCCACUGCUGAUAUGUCACUCAGCUGGAGAUAGUUGAUUGUCUUUUAUAUAUAAGAUUGUUACAUUUGUGUAACGUAGAUUUUUGAGUGGAUGAAGAGAAAGAAAAUGACAUUUUCUCCCAAGGAGCAUGCAACCUAUUUGGAACUUAUAUACAAGAAUAAAGGCCUAGGAGAGGCGCAAGACCACUUGGACAAAGUAGACCCAGACUUCGAUGUCACGGACCCUGAUGCCAAGAAUUGGCCUGUUUUCCAGAUGCUCCAUCAAUGCUAUGGUGAUAGCUGGGAGGGUGUCCGUGGUGUCGGCUUCGCCAUCUCAAGUUCGCGUAAAGUUGAAGAAAAAAAGAAAGCUCCAUCAAAGCUUUGGUGAUCGCUGGGAUGGUGUCCGUGGUAUGGGCAUGGGAAACUUGAUCUCAACUCCUUGGGAUCAUCGUUAUCCUCGUUUCCGCACGGGAAACUUUAUCUCAACUCCUACUCGUUAUUCCCGUUUCGGCUUUGGAAACUUCAUCUCAACUCCUCGUUGUUAUCCUCGUUUCCGCUUGAGAAACUUUGUCUCAACUCCUCGGGAUUGUUAUCCUAGUGUCGGCUUGGCAAACUUCUCAACUCGUCGUGUCCGAUAAACUCGUGGCAUUUGUAAUGGAAAUAGCGUUAAUAAUAUAUAUAUGUUUGGUGCGUUUAUGUUUUCAUGAAUAAAUUAAGCCCGGCUUUCAGAGUUAUUCUCUCUGCCGCCUUAAUUUUGAAUCGUUGUAUCUUUUUUAUCUUCUUAAGUAAUGAGAGUCUCUCCAUUGAGCAUGUUUAUGGGAGAACCCUAUGCUUGUUUCUCUAGUUAAUAUUAUAUAUAUUAAUAAAUUGAUGUGCUUAGACUCUUCUUUUUUUCUGAGACAAAUACCGUCGUGCCACCUGUCACAAAUAUCACAAGAGUCGGUGCUUGUUGGUCUGAAAUAAGAGUUGGCUCGAGCAAAAUUUGGGUUUUUUAUUUUAUUUUUUAUUUUGACUUAAAAACAACAAGAAACCCACAUAGAACCCCCUAUAAACAUGCUCUCUUAUUCUAAUGUUUUUAAGAAACUCUCAUAAUAAAAUAUUAUUAUUAAUUAUUUUAACAUUAUUUUCAUGUAUGAAAGACUUUAGUGAGAGACUCAGAAGAUAGUCUUAGUAAAUCAAUAUAUAAAGUAAAUUCCUACGAGUUUAUUACAAUUAAAAUGUUAACUUUUAUGAGAUUAAGAUACUCAACACACAUUGAAAUGGUCUUUGAUCGAUGAACUGAAUUGGGGCUAAAACUUCAAACUAUAAAAGACUAAUUUUGUCAAUUGCAUGGUUAUUUUUGAAAACUAUAUAAGACUUAUAUCAACUACAUACCGUUCCAAGCGAGAUGUAGGUUAACCACACCGUUUGCCAAACUCGUUAAGACCCCCUCGUCUCUUAACUAUGUAUUUCCACAUUGAAUCAAGCCAAGUGAUGAAGAUUCAUGUUUAAUUGAUAUUUCACGGGUGGUUUGGCUCAUUAAUUAUGUUUGUUGAAGCAUGAGCUCCACGAAGGUUACUGGAACCGAAACUCGGCCCUAAGAUGAAUUAACAAUACAUAAUUAUACGUAAGAAGAAUUAAACUCGGCCUUGACUACUAUGUGAAUUCAUGCGUGAGCUCAUUCAGUGAUUGUAAGAAGAAUUGAUGAUUUAUAGAAAAUUGUUAGAGCUAAGUAAAACCGUUAAACGAGACGUGUAAUGAUUGCUCAAGGCCUUUUCUAUAAUUUUUUUUUCAUUUCUACAAGAUCGUAAUGUUAUGAUGAAUUGAAGAUAAUAGAAUAAUCAAGUUUGUUAAAUUGAUGAGUUAGUUCAAAGGGUUGUUUAAAACAAUGAUAACUCCAAUAAAAAUUCAGAGUUCCGAGAGGAAAUGUUAUUAUCCAUGAGAUUCGGAUGAAGUAACGAUGGAAUUUGGAAACGAUGUUUCUAUUCUAUUCUCAACUGGUAGUGAUGAUAUCAAUGAUCGAAACAUUGUAUAAAGGCCACAUUAUAAGAUCGAAGCAUUUACCACUUGUAUCAUUGUAUAUGAUAUUUUGGAUCAUGAAUAUCAAUCUUUUCACAGAUCGUUAAUCUUUUACGACGAGCAAAAUUCACACAAACUUAUGUUCUUUGGAAAAGCAAAGUCACAAUUGUGUUACCGUUAAAGCAUACGACGACGAUUCACAACUUGUGGUCUCAAAAUGAUUUGGCUGCAGUGAAAAAAUCAAAGCAAAAGCUGGUGGACGAGCAAAUGCCACGUAAGACCAAUAAACGAUAAAACGAAAUCUCAAAAACCCAAUGAGUAGAGAGCUAAAGAUUACUUCACAGAUAACAAACCUUACUUGCAAUAUCUCUAUUUAAUCCAAACCUAUCUAACCAUUUUCAAUCACUCUCACUCACAAGUUAGUCACCAACAAAAAAAAAACAAAAAACCAAAAGAAAAAGAAGCGUUUCAAUGGCUGCCUCAACAAUGGCUCUCUCCUCCCCUGCCUUCGCCGGCAAGGCCGUCAAGAUCUCCCCGGCGGCAUCAGAAGUCCUCGGAAGCGGCCGUGUGACAAUGAGGAAGACUGUGGCCAAGCCAAAGGGCCCAUCAGGCAGCCCAUGGUACGGAUCCGAAAGGGUCAAGUACUUGGGUCCAUUCUCCGGCGAUUCACCGAGCUACCUCACCGGAGAGUUCCCCGGAGACUACGGAUGGGACACCGCCGGUCUCUCAGCCGAUCCCGAGACAUUCGCAAGAAACCGUGAGCUAGAAGUUAUCCACUCCAGGUGGGCCAUGCUCGGAGCCCU
rnacentral:lncRNA from 1 species